rnacentral:rRNA from 1 species
AUCCAGAGAUGGAUUUGUGCCUUCGGGAACUGUGAGACAGGUGCUGCAUGGCUGUCGUCAGCUCGUGUUGUGAAAUGUUGGGUUAAGUCCCGCAACGAGCGCAACCCUUAUCCUUUGUUGCCAGCGGUCCGGCCGGGAACUCAAAGGAGACUGCCAGUGAUAAACUGGAGGAAGGUGGGGAUGACGUCAAGUCAUCAUGGCCCUUACGACCAGGGCUACACACGUGCUACAAUGGCGCAUACAAAGAGAAGCGACCUCGCGAGAGCAAGCGGACCUCAUAAAGUGCGUCGUAGUCCGGAUUGGAGUCUGCAACUCGACUCCAUGAAGUCGGAAUCGCUAGUAAUCGUGGAUCAGAAUGCCACGGUGAAUACGUUCCCGGGCCUUGUACACACCGCCCGUCACACCAUGGGAGUGGGUUGCAAAAGAAGUAGGUAGCUUAACCUUCGGGAGGGCGCUUACCACUUUGUGAUU